UUCUGGUCAAGCUGGUUCCAAAUCCACAUUCUUGGCAGCUUGAUAACAAAAAAGGAGGGUAAACCCAUUGUCCGGGAGACUCCCGGUGCGGCAUUGUGGAGACAUGCCGUAAUACGUUCGCCAAGCCCGGCGUUCGUGAGAAUGCGCCUUGCGGAGGCAGCGCAGUCAGAGUCAGAACCUAUGGCA
ncrna:unclassified sequences malK-I RNA